rnacentral:lncRNA from 1 species
CUGACCAAUGGAAUCCCAGAAAAUGUGAGGCAAAGCAGAGGCUUUAGAUAGGCUUGUGUGAUUUUACUUUAUCAUUUGAUCUUAUUUAUCCUGAAAAGAAAAUAUCCAGGGUGGUUCUUGUCCAAAGAAGAAGAAAAAGGGAACAGAUAUCAACCAAGCCAAGAUCUCCAGCCAAGUCUAGCUGGAUUUCUGCCUGAGAAGACCAACUACACUGACCCAGAGACUUCCGAGUAAGGAAGAUAAAUGUCAAUGAGAACCAUGAAACCUAAGAAGAGAGGAACAGGCCCUGACUGGGUGGCCCUAUUAACAACUGAGUGGAUCUUCAUAGCAGGAACACAACUAUCAGAAGCAAAUGGUAAAAAGAUUUCAUUGAAAAGCAGCAGUCAGGGAUUUUAUGCAUUGUGAAUCUUCCACAGGAGUAUGCAGAAUUUCUCAAUUUAUUUGACCAUGAAGCAUUCUUUUUCCUACCAACACACUUUUGGAAAAUGCUGGAUUAUACUUAUUCUACUUGUAGCAGUAAUUCUACUUGCUUCUAUUGUACAUAGAAUUAAAAGCCCUCCAUAAACUUGAUCUUGAUGCCUAG